CAAUAGCGUAUAUUUAAGUUGUUGCAGUUAAAAAGCUCGUAGUCGGAUUUUGGCUGAGAACGAACGGUCCGCCGUUAGGUGUGCACUGUUUGGUCUCAGCUUCCUGGUGAGGAGGUGUGCUUCACGGCCACUUAGUCACCGUGGUUACUUUGAAAAAAUUAGAGUGUUCAAAGCGGGCUUACGCUUGAAUAUAUUAGCAUGGAAUAACACCAUAGGACUCCUGUCCUAUUUCGUUGGUCUCGGGACGGGAGUAAUGAUUAAGAGGAACAGUUGGGGGCAUUCGUAUUUCAUUGUCAGAGGUGAAAUUCUUGGAUUUAUGAAAGACGAGCUUCUGCGAAAGCAUUUGCCAAGGAUGUUUUCAUUGA
rnacentral:rRNA from 1 species